rnacentral:rRNA from 1 species
GGUACCGUCAGCCGCCAUCCCUAUUCGAAAUGACGGAGUUCUUCCCCUCUGACAGUGGUUUACACCCCGAAGGGCUUACUCCCACACGCGGCGUCGCUGCGUCAGCCUUUCGGCCAUUGCGCAAUAUUCCCCA